UAAAAAGGGAUCCUUGAACUUUCCGUUUACUCUUAUUUAACUCAUCACACACUUUACUCUAAACUUUUUUUCUUUUACUCUCUUGCUCUAAUCUUGAUUAGAAUAGAAACUAAAAUAAAAAUAGAUAAAUCUCUGAAAAUGUUUUUCUUUUGUUAUACACCAAAGUUUUAGAAAGACAUUAACAUGUUAAGUAUGCUUUUUGUGUCCAGUAUUAGUUUCUGCUAAGAAAAAUGAGUGUUUAGACCUUGUUGGCAAAAAUGUAAAAGUCUUUCAUGUGAUUUAUAAUUUGUAAGGUGAAUGAAGAAACUUUUUGAACUCAAAAAGAUCAGACUGGGAUAUGUAUUAAAAUACUGACAAACAAUAUUAGUUUGAGGGAAGUUAUAGUUAAAUUAUCUACAAGGAUUUCAGUCGAAUAGAAAUAGGGAUGAAAAGAUCAUGUUCUCAGUGGCUAAGUAGAAAAGAAGCUUGUUCCUUAAUAACACUCUAUUUUAAAAUACAUUUUAAAAGAAGUAUUUGUCGUAGAGCAGUUACAAAGAAUGCUGGAAAUAUCUAGUAGACAUUUUAGUGGAAAAAGUACAUACUAACUAACUUGACUUAAGUUUAAAGCAACAUAUUGGCUCAGCAGAUAAAUGCAUUGUAUUCUAAUUAAUCGUCUGUUUGCAGAAGUAAAUUCCUAGCAAUUUAAGCAUUUUAUAACAAACUGUAGUUUUGCCUGGUUUGAUGUGAAAGGAUUAGCAGAUGCAUAUCACUUUAAUUUUGACAAAAAAUUAUUUUUAAACAUGUAAAAAAUGUUAAAAAAGAGAUAAUGCUUUUGAAGUAUACACUGUAUACCAAUGUAGACUAUAAUUUGCAUAUUAAGGAUGGUUGCUAUGAUCUUUUCCAUAAAAAAUAAACUUUAGGUAAAACAUUAUGCUUUUAAAAUCGUAUUAUUCUAAAACAUGUAAGGUAAGCAAAGAGAAAUAUUGCAGAACUGAUGAAUUCUGUCUUUUUUGUAAUCCUACAAAGAAUUAUGGGAAAUUAUACAAACCUCACCUACUGAUAACCUUUAAAUAAAAC
rnacentral:lncRNA from 1 species